rnacentral:lncRNA from 1 species
GUAUGGCAAGUGUACAAAGAGAGUUCUGGAAGGUGACCCCUCAACCUUUCAUAUCUCUUCUGCAUGGAAAAUUACAACCUUUAAUUAUAACUCAAAUCAAUUUAUUUAAUAUAACAUUAUUUUGCUGUAAAAUUCAUGUGACACAAAAUAAAUAUUUACAGACUAAAAACAUCAUGAAAGUUUAAUUAUAUUAUCUCAGGAAAAUAUAACUCCAGAGCACAAUUUAAAAUCCAAAGUUUUCAAAAUAAAGAAUUUUGCAUGAGCUCUAACCUGUAGAACUGACCCUGUGAAGUCUUUUAGUUCAUGAAAAAGAAAAAUAUUUCACUUCCAUUUAGUCAAUAGAUUACUGACAGUAAAUUUGCUAAUGAUACCUUGAGCCCUAAAAUUAGAUUUCUUUAACUGUUAGAUGAACCAAUGGUUUCCAAAUCAUGCUGAAAGUACAUUGAUGACUCCAAAUUGACCCCUGGCCUGGGAACCUCCAUAUUCUGUGGGUGAGGCCCUAAAAAGGAAAAAAAAAAAAACAAGAAAUAAAAUAAAUAAAUAGAUAAAUAAAUAACUCUAAAUGCAUAAAAACAGAAAGUAGAUUUGUGAUUGCUGGGGGCAGGGGUAGAGUGGGGAAAAAAUGGUUGAAAGUGAUCAAAGUGUUCAAACUUCUAGUCAUAAGAGGAAUAAGUUCUGGGGAUGUAAUGCAUAUCAUGAUGAAUAUAGUUAACUAUACUCUAUUGUAUACUUGAAAAUUGUUAACCAUAGAUCUUAAAAGUUCUCAUCAAACUCACAAAAUAAUGAUAGCUAUGUGAGGUGAUGGGUGUGUUAUAUAACCUUAUUGUGGUAGAAAUUUCACAUACAUAUAUAUAUAUCAAACUAUCACAUUGUAUACAUUAAACUUACACCAUAUGUCAAUUACAUCUCAAUAAAUAAAAUUAAAUAACGAAUGCUUAUAAAAAUUACUACUCUCAAGAAAUUUUUAAAACAGAAAGAUUUAUGUCAGAAAUUAUGUUCUUAAUCAAAUUAAUCAUGAUCUUUAAUGAAAAUAUAAGUAAAAUAUGGUAGAUCAAAAAGAGGUAAGGAUUCAGAACACUGACAAUUUCAGAAUUCAUUACUGAACUUAUUAGGGUUUAAGUAUGUAUACAUGAGUGUGUGUAUGUAUGAGUAAGUUAGGAAUUGAGAGCAGAAAAGGGAAUUUUGAAAUAGGAAAACAGAGAGAAAAAUAUUUCUUUACUUACUGGGUCAGUGAGUCUUUCUUGGGCCACAUUCUGUUAUUCUCUUAGUCCUUCUUAUCCAGGCAAUAAGGUAGGGCCAAUUAGAUAAUGAACUGUUUCAAAAUAUCUGUAUAGCAAAAAAAAUAUAUAUAUAUAUAGUGGUCAUCUGUUGCUACUCAGGAUCCAUUUCUUUUCUGAGAUCAGAACCAUUAGUUUUCUGGAAAACACUUGACCCAACCCUGAGUCCAAGCUUGUGUUUUGAAUGGGAGAUGACAUGGUCUUACUGGCUUUAUACCCCAAAGUGAAAAUGAAUCCUAAAAAAAAAGAAAACAAUAUAAUACAAAUUUAACAUAUAAAAAAAAAAAAAAGAAAGAAAGAAAAUGAACCCUGACUCGAGCUAGGCCAGUGAGAGCCCUUCUCCGGGCAUUUUACUUUGCACUAGUUAGUACUUUCUAGAUGUAUGAGAAAUAUAACUCUGGAAUGGCUCAUUACUGUGUUCCCGAACUUUAGAAUGUCAGUUUGCACCAAAGAAGAUAAGACCAACAUAAAGAGGAAAGCAAAGAUGAUGAUGGACCAGCUGUCCUGGGGAUUAGUUCUGCACUUUCUUGUAUUGGGUUAUAUAAGGUAUCCUAGUACCUUUCAAAUAACUUUCUUGCUGUAUUUUAAGCUUAUUCAAACAGGUUUCUUAUACUCUAAAGCAACAGCUCUGGUGGAUACAGUGUAAUAGUAGAAUGCAUGUUUUCAAUGGUCAGACAAACUUCACUGAAGCAAUAUAUAAUGGUCAGUAGAUGAUUGUUGUGGUCCACUUAGACAGGAGUGAUAGUCUAAACUAUGUGGUCAGAGAGAUGAACACCAAGUAAGUAGAUUUAUUGCUUUAAUAGGAAGAAAGCCAGAAUGGACUCUUUUAGGGACAAUAUUUUUCAAUAUGUAGCCCCUAGACACCUGCAUCCUAUUCACUUAGAGUGAUUGCUAAAGUCAACAUUCUUGGGCCCCAGCCUAGACCCAGGUCAUCAGAAUCUCUGGGGAGUGAAAGGAACUUUCUUAAACUAGCAUUCCAGAUGAUUCUAAUGUGGGUUAGAGGUUGAGAACCACUGCCUUGGAGGAAUGGUUGCCAUUACUAGGAUGCUAAUAUAAUGCAGUGUUUAGAGGUAAUACAUGCACAGUAAGGAUCCAAUUGUGCAGAGUGCAGAAAAAAACAUAGGAGAAAAAUCCAGACAGUGCUUUCCUAUGGUCAUUAUGUUAUAAUGACUAGAAAUGGAGAAAGAGCAGAUGAAAGCAUGGGACCUAAGAACUACAUAUCAGUAAUAAAGUAGAUUAAAAGUUUAAUAUAUACAUUAUAUAUAUAAAGAGAAAACACUGACUUGGUGUUCUUAUAUAGGAAAACAAAGACAAUCAAAUAUGAUUUCUGCAUUCCUUUGUUGCUGCUAUAUGAAUGUUUAUCCACUGCAAAUAGCCAACAUAUGCAUGAAAAAUUAAAAAUCCAUUCAAAGCAAUGAAUUAAUGGCCUAAUGUAAAACAACUAUCCCAAACUAUCUGUUCAAUUUCCCCUCAACUGUAUCAAACAAAUUUGCUACUGAAAUGGUGGUUUCAACUUCCAUUAAGACUGCCCAUCUGAUUUAAGUAAAUUUUUUCACCUUGAAAAUGAACUCAUAAUUUUAUGGCUUGUACUGUGUUGAAAGAUCUUAAAUCAGAGACCUUAAUCCAACCAAUUUUCACACACACACACACACACACACACACACACACACACACACACACGCAAAUGCCCCAAGUACAUUUCAAACUAGAUGAAUAAAAUAUCAAAUGAAGAAUCAUCAUGCAUAUGACCAUUUGCUCAAAUGAGUUCAUUUUUUUGUAUCUAGCCAGCAAGAAUCUAUUUCUACAAGAAAUGCAGGAGUUAAUGCCUCUGAGAAGAACAGCCACAAUCUAACCAUCUUGUCAAAUCCAUUCCCUGGAACCUCAGGGGUAGAGCCUUCCUACCAGCUUCAGGGAGGCCGCAUCAGCCUUUCCUUCCAUUCCUCAAUCUUCCAUUGUCAGACCGUGUUGGUAAUUGGUUUUUAAUUGGUUCAUUUACCCGAAUGAUUUAUACUGCCUCAGGUAGACAAGAUUUAAUGACACCCAUUACAGGGCUUUAGAUUAUUUCACAAAUAGAUAUGCUGUUGUCCUUCAAGAUUGAAGAUCCAUGCAUAUGAGUGUUAUCAUUCAUACAUCUCUGAUGUAGAAAAGUCCAGCGAGGCUAACAAGGAUAAAAAUCAGAGUUUAUCAACUGUGGACUAUGGACAAGGCAUUUUGCUAAGUUCUUUAUACACAUUAUCUGAUUUAACAGGCAUUUCCAUGAGAAGAGAAAUAAACAGAAAAAAGUGUCCAAAGAGUUGCAUUUGUUUCUGAACAGAAACUGCUUACAACUGUUUCUCCUUAACUUUCUGGAUGAUCACUUCCUUUGCUCAAAUUAGUGGCCCCACUUUGAGCAGUAAAUAAUGUACUCAGAAAAUCACUGAAGAAGUUAGAUAAGACAUCUAGCUUAAUUCUGGGUUCUGAUAAUAAUUGUGGGACUUUAAUCCAAUUAUUUAACAUUUGGGUUUAGACUGGCUCUCCGGAAUGCACUCUCAGUAGUCCUUAGAUAAUGUGGUUCACUGCAUAUGCCUAUUUCUCAUUUUGAUUGAUUAGCUACUUGAGGUACUGUCAAAUCUUCCUACAGUGUAACCUAUGCUUGUACUUCAGUGUUCUCUUAAAAUAUAAUUUCUGCCUAAUAAGAAAACCAUUUAAUGUCUAAAAAAGUUAUAAUUACUUUUCAUAUAUGUAUCAUCACAUAGGUGAAUUGAUAUGCAUUGGUAUUUAGAGAUUCUAAUGUUGUUUAUAUAAAACAAGAAAUUCAAGUGGACUCUUCUGAAUGAUAAAUUUGGAUAAAUUUAGAGAGGCACAUUUUAGGAUUGGGACUUUGUUCAAUUAUAGAUUUGCACAGAAAUCAUACAAAUAAUUUGGCAGGGCAUAACGUGUCUGGCUUUUACAAGAAAUAAUCUUUGGCAAACCUAGAUAUUUUGACAAGAAUAUUUUUUCUUACUUGGUUUAAAAAAAUGUUUAGUAUUUACUUUGUACUCAGAAUCAUUGACAGACUUUUGCUGAAUAUCCACUCCUUCAACACGCACAAUUUCUGAAAAUAAUGUUGCAUUUUUCUAAUUGUUUCUCACAGUAUCCCAAGUUUAGGGAAGCAGAUUUACAAGAUUUACUUCAAUUGUUAGAAAACUGUGGAUUAGUGCAAACGUAUUUAAAUGUGAUCAGACCUUCAUGUGUGCUCAUAUGUGCAUGCCUUGAUUCUUCAAAUAAAUUCAGUUCAGUUGUAUAUAACUGGAAAAAAACUUAAAAUGGAGCAGGCUGCUUACCUCAGAAUUUAUCUGUUCUAAGGAGGAGAAAAAUAGUCUUUUAAAGUGUCAGUUGUGGAGUUCCUAUUGUGGCUCAGCCAGUUAAGAACCCAAUUAGUAUCCAUGAGGAUGCAGAUUUGAGAUCCCUGGCUCAGUGGGUUAAGGAUCCGGCAUUGCCACAAGCUGUGGCAUAAGUCCCACACCCCCCCCGCACCUCGCGUUGCUGUGGCUGUAGUGUAGGCUGGCAGCUGUAGAUCUGAUUCAACACCUAACCUGGGAACUUCCAUAUGUCGCAGGUGUGACCCUAAAAAGCAAAAAGAAAAAGAAAAGAAAAAAA